UCUUGUGUACAGCACGUUUCAUUUGAAAGAAUUUAGAGACUCUUUCAAAUAUGUCAACACUUCUCUUCUUGACAAAAUGCACAGCAAUGAAAUUUGCGCUGUAUAACAAGAAGUUCCAAGCAAACAUGUCACCAUACAUGACUUAUCUUGAAGGUCUUGAUUUUGCUGAUACAAGUAAGAGUUUUUUGACUGAUAGAUGUAUGGAAACUAAUAAAAGAUAAUAUUUGCAAGUGAGAGAGAAGAAAGCAGUAUUUAUAAUAGUCUUUGUAGCUAACAAGAUUUAUAGAGACAAGGCAGUGGAAAGGAAUCAUGAAACAAAAGAAAAACCGAGUGACUUUUAGAAAAGGGCAGGAACUGUCUACUUUUUAAUAGGCUUGAACAGUAAGAAGCCAGGUGAAGUUGGGAUUUGUCAAUACCACAAUAUUAGGUAGUCUCUUCAUGGUAAAAAAUACAGUUUUGUGCUGGUUUGUCCUUAAACUAGUAUCUAGCAAAACCUUAGAUUUAUUUAAAGCCAAAUACUGAGAUUUGUUAUCAUCUUUUCCUUGGAAAACAGAUCUCAUAGCAAGUUGCAGAAUUCUGCUUGAAUUCUCCUUGUUUGAAUUUCCAGGCUUACAGGAAGCAGAUGAUACUGUUAGCUUAGCUGGGGUUUUCUUGGCUGCUCCUUUCUUAGGCACCUUUCCUUCUUUUGUGGACAAAGAUGUGGUGUGAUGUGCUCAGCAUAGUGUUAUAUGAGCUUAGUGUUCCCUGGGUUUUACUGCUGAGAAGAGAUGAUGCAUUUCUGUGGGAGAGCUUUGCUAAAAGGAUUGUCUUUCCUGACUAACAUCUUUUGAUGAGAGUCCAAUAUUUGCUUCCAAUGCACCUUUCAUAGUUUACCAAGUACUACCACAUCAUGGACUUGUGGAUUCAUUAAUGUGUGCUGCUUUAUCCUGCUGCCAAAUACCUCAUUGUGAACUUUUUCUAAUCAGUACUGUGAACAAAUCUGUUGAAUGUCAAUGUGCUGCUUCUUUUUUCUGACUCUUUUGAUGUACCUUUGUUAGCUGAGUCCAUUGAAGUCGUACUGUUCAGGCCUCAGACCAUGAGCUACACUAGUUGGUCUGCUGAAGAUAGAGUAUUUCUUUUUUAGCAAUCACAGUUCUUCUAGGCAUUACUAGACACACUAGGCAUUGCAUAGUGUUGUUUUACUUUCUGCCAAGUAAUCCAGUCCCACUGAACUGAGUAUGCUGAGUACUCUGAGGCAGGUACCCUGAGCUCUUUAUUCAUCCAUCACUGAAGGUAUGACGGUACUGCUGCAGUGUAAGUGUUGAAUCAUCGUGCAACUCUGCUUUUCCCUAGACUGGUGACUUUUUGCUGUGUAUAAUGAGAGGUAGUUGCUAUUAAGAUACUUUUUGUUGGUGACAUUCUUAAGCAUAUAUUGGAUUAAAUGUAUAAGUAUCCAGCACUGAAGG